GUGGGGAAUAUUGGACAAUGGGCGAAAGCCUGAUCCAGCCAUGCCGCGUGUGUGAAGAAGGUCUUCGGAUUGUAAAGCACUUUAAGUUGGGAGGAAGGGCAGUAAGUUAAUACCUUGCUGUUUUGACGUUACCGACAGAAUAAGCACCGGCUAACUUCGUGCCAGCAGCCGCGGUAAUACGAAGGGUGCAAGCGUUAAUCGGAAUUACUGGGCGUAAAGCGCGCGUAGGUGGUUUUGUAAGUUGGAGGUGAAAUCCCCGGGCUCAACCUGGGAACUGCCUCCAAAACUGCAUGACUAGAGUACGGUAGAGUGUAGUGGAAUUUCCUGUGUAGCGGUGAAAUGCGUAGAUAUAGGAAGGAACACCAGUGGCGAAGGCGACUACCUGGACUGAUACUGACACUGAGGUGCGAAAGCGUGGGGAGCAAACAGGAUUAGAUACCCUAGUAGUCC
rnacentral:rRNA from 1 species